rnacentral:rRNA from 1 species
ACGGGUGAGUAACGCGUAGGCAACCUGCCCUUUGCACAGGGAUAGCCUCGGGAAACCGGGAUUAAAACCUGAUAACGCCGAGAAAACACAUGUUUACUCGGUCAAAUAUUUAUAGGCAAAGGAUGGGCCUGCGUCUGAUUAGCUAGUUGGUGAGGUAACGGCUCACCAAGGCGACGAUCAGUAGCCGACCUGAGAGGGUAAACGGCCACAUUGGAACUGAGACACGGUCCAAACUCCUACGGGAGGCAGCAGUGGGGAAUAUUGCACAAUGGGCGAAAGCCUGAUGCAGCAACGCCGCGUGAGCGAGGAAGGCCUUUGGGUCGUAAAGCUCUGUUGAGAGGGAAGAAAAAAAUGACGGUACCUCUUGAGGAAGCCCCGGCUAACUACGUGCCAGCAGCCGCGGUAAUACGUAGGGGGCGAGCGUUAUCCGGAAUUAUUGGGCGUAAAGAGUGCGUAGGUGGUUAUCUAAGCGUGGGGUGAAAGGCAGUGGCUUAACCAUUGUAAGCCUUGCGAACUGGAUAGCUUGAGUGCAGGAGGGGAAAGUGGAAUUCCUAGUGUAGCGGUGAAAUGCGUAGAUAUUAGGAGGAACACCGGUGGCGAAGGCGGCUUUCUGGACUGUAACUGACACUGAGGCACGAAAGCGUGGGUAGCAAACAGGAUUAGAU